AUACGGAGGGAGCGAGCGUUAAUCGGAAUUACUGGGCGUAAAGCGCGCGUAGGCGGCUUUGUAAGUCGGAUGUGAAAGCCCAGGGCUCAACCCUGGAAUUGCAUUCGAUACUGCACGGCUAGAGUAUGGUAGAGGGAAGUGGAAUUUCCGGUGUAGCGGUGAAAUGCGUAGAUAUCGGAAGGAACACCAGUGGCGAAGGCGACUUCCUGGGCCAAUACUGACGCUGAGGUGCGAAAGCGUGGGGAGCAAACAGGAUUAGAUACCCGAGUAGUCC
rnacentral:rRNA from 1 species